rnacentral:rRNA from 1 species
CGCGAAAGUGGCUUCGGCCACGAGUAGAGUGGCGCACGGGUGAGUAACGCGUGGAUAAUCUGCCUCUGCAAUCGGAAUAACGACUGGAAACGGUCGCUAAUACCGGAUACGCUUAAGUUUUACCUCUUAAGGAAAGAUGACCUCUAUUUAUAAGUUAUCGUGCAGAGAUGAGUCCGCGUCCCAUUAGCUUGUUGGCGGGGUAACGGCCCACCAAGGCGACGAUGGGUAGCCGAUUUAAGAGGAUGAUCGGCCACAUUGGAACUGAAACACGGUCCAAACUCCUACGGGAGGCAGCAGUGGGGAAUAUUGCGCAAUGGGCGAAAGCCUGACGCAGCGACGCCGCGUGAGGGAUGAAGGUCUUCGGAUCGUAAACCUCUGUCAGAAGGGAAAAAUGUACAGUGCUCCAAUCAACAUUGUAUUGAUGGUACCUUCAGAGGAAGCACCGGCUAACUCCGUGCCAGCAGCCGCGGUAAUACGGAGGGUGCAAGCGUUAAUCGGAAUUACUGGGCGUAAAGCGCGCGUAGGUUGUUUUGUAAGUCAGAGGUGUAAUCCCACGGCUUAACCGUGGAACUGCCUUUGAUACUGCAUAACUUGGAUCCGGGAGAGGACAGCGGAAUUCCAGGUGUAGGAGUGAAAUCCGUAGAUAUCUGGAAGAACAUCAGUGGCGAAGGCGGCUGUCUGGACCGGUAUUGACGCUGAGGCGCGAAAGCGUGGGUAGCAAACAGGAUUAGAUACCCUGGUAGUCCACGCUGUAAACGAUGGAUGCUGGAUGUCGGGGCGCAAGCUUCGGUGUCGUAGUUAACGCGAUAAGCAUCCCGCCUGGGGACUACGGUCGCAAGGCUGAAACUCAAAGAAAUUGACGGGGGCCCGCACAAGCGGUGGAGUAUGUGGUUUAAU